rnacentral:rRNA from 1 species
ACACAUGCAAGUCGAACGAGAAGACAUGAAAAGCUUGCUUUUUAUGAAAUCUAGUGGCAAACGGGUGAGUAACACGUAAACAACCUGCCUUCAAGAUGGGGACAACAGACGGAAACGACUGCUAAUACCGAAUACAAUCCGAAAGUCGCAUGACAUUCGGAUGAAAGGGUGGCCUAUCGAAGAAGCUAUCGCUUGAAGAGGGGUUUGCGUCCGAUUAGGUAGUUGGUGAGGUAACGGCCCACCAAGCCGACGAUCGGUAGCCGGUCUGAGAGGAUGAACGGCCACACUGGAACUGAGACACGGUCCAGACUCCUACGGGAGGCAGCAGUGGGGAAUCUUCCGCAAUGGACGAAAGUCUGACGGAGCAACGCCGCGUGAGUGAAGACGGCCUUCGGGUUGUAAAGCUCUGUGAUUCGGGACGAAAGGCCAUAUGUGAAUAAUAUAUGGAAAUGACGGUACCGAAAAAGCAAGCCACGGCUAACUACGUGCCAGCAGCCGCGGUAAUACGUAGGUGGCAAGCGUUGUCCGGAAUUAUUGGGCGUAAAGCGCGCGCAGGCGGUCACUUAAGUCCAUCUUAGAAGUGCGGGGCUUAACCCCGUGAUGGGAUGGAAACUGGGAGACUGGAGUAUCGGAGAGGAAAGUGGAAUUCCUAGUGUAGCGGUGAAAUGCGUAGAUAUUAGGAAGAACACCGGUGGCGAAGGCGACUUUCUGGACGAAAACUGACGCUGAGGCGCGAAAGCGUGGGGAGCAAACAGGAUUAGAUACCCUGGUAGUCCACGCCGUAAACGAUGGAUACUAGGUGUAGGAGGUAUCGACCCCUUCUGUGCCGGAGUUAACGCAAUAAGUAUCCCGCCUGGGAAGUACGAUCGCAAGAU